rnacentral:rRNA from 1 species
UACGGAUGAUCCAAGCGUUAUCCGGAAUCAUUGGGUUUAAAGGGUCCGUAGGCGGUUUAAUAAGUCAGUGGUGAAAGCCCAUCGCUCAACGGUGGAACGGCCAUUGAUACUGUUAAACUUGAAUUAUUAGGAAGUAACUAGAAUAUGUAGUGUAGCGGUGAAAUGCUUAGAGAUUACAUGGAAUACCAAUUGCGAAGGCAGGUUACUACUAAUGGAUUGACGCUGAUGGACGAAAGCGUGGGUAGCGAACAGG